rnacentral:rRNA from 1 species
CCUACGGGUGGCAGCAGUGGGGGAUAUUGCACAAUGGGGGAAACCCUGAUGCAGCGACGCCGCGUGUGGGAAGACGGUCCUCUGGAUUGUAAACCACUGUCCCCAGGGACGAAGAUGACGGUACCUGGGGAGGAAGCUCCGGCAAACUACGUGCCAGCAGCCGCGGUAAUACGUAGGGAGCAAGCGUUGUCCGGAAUUACUGGGUGAAAAGGGAGCGUAGGCGGGAUGGCAAGUUGGGUGUUAAAUCUACCGGCUCAACUGGUAGUCGCACUCAAAACUGCUAUUCUUGAGUGAAGUAGAGGCAGGCGGAAUUCCUAGUGUAGCGGUGAAAUGCGUAGAUAUUAGGAGGAACACCAGUGGCGAAGGCGGCCUGCUGGACUGUAACUGACGCUGAUGCUCGAAAGUGUGGGUAUCAAACAGGAUUAGAUACCCGGGUAGUC